GAUGAACGCUAGCUACAGGCUUAACACAUGCAAGUCGAGGUGAAACGGCAUCGAAAGCUUGCUUUUGAUGGGCGUCGACCGGCGCACGGGUGAGUAACGCGUAUCCAACCUGCCCAUCACUUGGGAAUAACCUUGCGAAAGUAAGACUAAUGCCCAAUGACAUCCCACGAAGGCAUCCGAAUGGGAUUAAAGAUUUAUCGGUGAUGGAUGGGGAUGCGUCUGAUUAGCUUGUUGGCGGGGUGACGGCCCACCAAGGCAACGAUCAGUAGGGGUUCUGAGAGGAAGGUCCCCCACAUUGGAACUGAGACACGGUCCAAACUCCUACGGGAGGCAGCAGUGAGGAAUAUUGGUCAAUGGGCGAGAGCCUGAACCAGCCAAGUAGCGUGCAGGAUGACGGCCCUAUGGGUUGUAAACUGCUUUUAUAAGGGAAUAAAGUGGGUCACGUGUGACUUUUUGCAUGUACCUUAUGAAUAAGGACCGGCUAAUUCCGUG
rnacentral:rRNA from 1 species